rnacentral:misc_RNA from 1 species
GAUGAAGAACGCAGCGAAAUGCGAUACGUAAUGUGAAUUGCAGAAUUCAGUGAAUCAUCGAAUCUUUGAACGCACAUUGCGCCCGCCAGCAUUCUGGCGGGCAUGCCUGUUCGAGCGUCAUUUCAACCCUCGAGCCCCCCCGGGGGCCUCGGUGUUGGGGGACGGCACACCAGCCGCCCCCGAAAUGCAGUGGCGACCCCGCCGCAGCCUCCCCUGCGUAGUAGCACACACCUCGCACCGGAGCGCGGAGGCGGUCACGCCGUAAAACGCCCAACUUUCUUAGAGUUGACCUCGGAUCAGGUAGGAAUACCCGCUGAACUUAAGCAUAUCAAUAACGGAGGA